rnacentral:rRNA from 1 species
UACGUAGGGUGCGAGCGUUGUCCGGAAUUACUGGGCGUAAAGAGCUCGUAGGUGGUUUGUCGCGUUGUUCGUGAAAACUCACAACUCAAUUGUGGGCGUGCGGGCGAUACGGGCAGACUGGAGUACUGCAGGGGAGACUGGAAUUCCUGGUGUAGCGGUGGAAUGCGCAGAUAUCAGGAGGAACACCGGUGGCGAAGGCGGGUCUCUGGGCAGUAACUGACGCUGAGACGCGAAAGCGUGGGGAGCGAACAGG